rnacentral:sRNA from 12 species
AUGCUUUAAGUGAAAGGAAAUAUCCGUGUCGGGAUAAACUACGGCUUCCGGAUUCCUGGAUAGAGCAUCUCAUAGGAAAGUACCGUUAGAAAGAUCAACUCGUAAUUGAUUGAGUAUAAAUAACCUCUAGAGGGAGGUCGCGGGAAACUAUGAUGAAACUCCUAGAAGUGGGCGUGCCUGGCAGAAGGAGUAGGUCGAAAACUGGUUGCUGAAGCAGCGUAAGCUCCCUGAUGUAAGCUCCCUGAAUAAAUUCACAGCAAUACAUCAAAGCAAUAUGAGAGUUGGCCAGUAUAAAUAAAUUCCCUGUUAACAGGAAGAGGGUUUGCAAAUCCAAUGUCGGGAGACACGGACCUCAUGGGAAGAAGAAACAACUCUAGUGUUAGAGAGAUACUGUUAAUGAGCUCUAACAUGUUCAAAUAUCUUAUUUAAG